UCUCUCUUCAGGCUGCAGGCAGGGAAGCGUACUGGAGGGUGGCUGCCGGGGCUUGGCGUGAGUUCUUGAUGGCAUGGUGAGGGAGCAAGACAUCAUCAGGUUUACUUACUGAUGUGGCCUCUGCGUCCCGUGCGCUGGUGGUGCAGUCCUCUCAGAUCAGACACAAGCAGGUAGUUGUAGAUACCGUAUCUUCAAACGAGUUACUCAUAGCAUCUACAGAGUGGGCCAAUAUUCGAAAAGAGCACAAGACUUGAGGAUUUGAGCAUGCUUGUAGGCUAGAAGCAUCAACUUCAGACUUCGUCACUUGUUGACAGUCUAAAAUUGACCCUGAACUGAUAUGGGCACUUGCUAAGCAAGAUGUCAAAGACAAGCACCAGCUGAAGAUGAAAUAGAAAAUACAGCCGGUAAAGGCACCAACGAAGGAAAACCUUCAGGCGUCAAACAUGAUGGAAGGAUGUUGGAUGGUCAGGUAAUUAGUAUAAUCUACAUGCCUCAAUGGCCUUUGUGGGCUGCUGAUGAUCACCCCACAUACUAUGCAAUUUUACUCCUUGGUGCUUGCACAUCCAUGAAAUCCAUAUCCAUGAAAUCUGGAUGUACUGGAUUCCACAUGCUGCAUGCAUAAGUUUGGUUCUCUCUUAUAUAGAGUCCCCAGUUUUGUUCUCACGUGUUAUAGCAUUACAGCA